CAAUGGCCGGUACAGAGGGAAGCGAGACCGCAAGGUGGAGCCAACCCCAGAGAGCCGGCCCCAGUUCAGAUCGGGGUCUGCAACCCGACCCCGUGAAGUCGGAUUUGCUAGUAACGGCGCAUCAGCUACGGCGCCGUGAAUGCGUUCCCGGGCCUUGUACACACCGCCCGUCACAUCAUGAAAGCCGUCUGCACCCGAAGUCGGGCAUUUGUCCGCCUAAGGUGUGGGUGGUGAUUGGGAUGAAGUCGUAACAAGGUAACCGUUGGGGAACCAGCGGUUGGAUCACCUCCUUU
rnacentral:rRNA from 1 species